GACGAACGCUGGCGGCGUGCUUAACACAUGCAAGUCGAACGGACAGACAGAGAGCUUGCUCUCUUGAAGUUAGUGGCGAACGGGUGAGUAACGCGUAAUCAACCUGCCCUUCAGAGGGGGAUAACAACGGGAAACCGUUGCUAAUACCGCGUACGAUUCAUGAGCGGCAUCAUUUAUGAAUGAAAGGUGGCCUCUAUGUAUAAGCUAUCGCUGAAGGAGGGGAUUGCGUCUGAUUAGCUAGUUGGAGGGGUAACGGCCCACCAAGGCAAUGAUAAGUGGCCGGUCUGAGAGGAUGAACGGCCACAUUGGGACUGAGACACGGCCCAAACUCCUACGGGAGGCAGCAGUGGGGAAUCUUCCGCAAUGGACGAAAGUCUGACGGAGCAACGCCGCGUGAGUGAUGAAGGUCUUCGGAUUGUAAAGCUCUGUUAAUCGGGACGAAAGAGUUCUGCGUGAAUAAUGCAGAAAAGUGACGGUACCGGAAUAGAAAGCCACGGCUAACUACGUGCCAGCCGCCGCCGUAA
rnacentral:rRNA from 1 species